rnacentral:rRNA from 1 species
UCGAUUCCCUUAGUAGCGGCGAGCGAAACGGGAAGAGCCCAAACCAACAAGCUUGCUUGUUGGGGUUGUAGGACACUCUAUACGGAGUUACAAAGGACGACAUUAGACGAAUCAUCUGGAAAGAUGAAUCAAAGAAGGUAAUAAUCCUGUAGUCGAAAAUGUUGUCUCUCUUGAGUGGAUCCUGAGUACGACGGAGCACGUGAAAUUCCGUCGGAAUCUGGGAGGACCAUCUCCUAAGGCUAAAUACUCUCUAGUGACCGAUAGUGAACCAGUACCGUGAGGGAAAGGUGAAAAGCACCCCGGAAGGGGAGUGAAAUAGAACCUGAAACCGUGUGCUUACAAGUAGUCAGAGCCCGUUAAUGGGUGAUGGCGUGCCUUUUGUAGAAUGAACCGGCGAGUUACGAUUUGAUGCAAGGUUAAGCAGUAAAUGUGGAGCCGUAGCGAAAGCGAGUCUGAAUAGGGCGUUUAGUAUUUGGUCGUAGACCCGAAACCAGGUGAUCUACCCUUGGUCAGGUUGAAGUUCAGGUAACACUGAAUGGAGGACCGAACCGACUUACGUUGAAAAGUGAGCGGAUGAACUGAGGGUAGCGGAGAAAUUCCAAUCGAACCUGGAGAUAGCUGGUUCUCUCCGAAAUAGCUUUAGGGCUAGCCUCAAGUGAUGAUUAUUGGAGGUAGAGCACUGUUUGGACGAGGGGCCCCUCUCGGGUUACCGAAUUCAGACAAACUCCGAAUGCCAAUUAAUUUAACUUGGGAGUCAGAACAUGGGUGAUAAGGUCCGUGUUCGAAAGGGAAACAGCCCAGACCACCAGCUAAGGUCCCAAAAUAUAUGUUAAGUGGAAAAGGAUGUGGCGUUGCCCAGACAACUAGGAUGUUGGCUUAGAAGCAGCCAUCAUUUAAAGAGUGCGUAAUAGCUCACUAGUCGAGUGACACUGCGCCGAAAAUGUACCGGGGCUAAACAUAUUACCGAAGCUGUGGAUUGUCCUUUGGACAAUGGUAGGAGAGCGUUCUAAGGGCGUUGAAGCAUGAUCGUAAGGACAUGUGGAGCGCUUAGAAGUGAGAAUGCCGGUGUGAGUAGCGAAAGACGGGUGAGAAUCCCGUCCACCGAUUGACUAAGGUUUCCAGAGGAAGGCUCGUCCGCUCUGGG